GGUCAUAGCUCAGUGGGAGAGCAUCUGCUUCGCCUGCAGAAGGUGCCAAGUUCAAUCCCUGACAUCUCUG